CCGACGGUGAGGGGUGAAAGCUGGGGGAGCAAACCGGAUUAGAUACCCGGGUAGUCCCAGCCGUAAACGAUGUGCGUUAGGUGUAUCGGUGACCACGUGUCACCGAGGUGCCGAAGAGAAAUCGUGAAACGUACCGCCUGGGAAGUACGGUCGCAAGGCUGAAACUUAAAGGAAUUGGCGGGGGAGCACCACAACAGGUGGAGCCUGCGGUUUAAUCGGACUCAACGCCGGGAAACUCACCAGAUAAGACAGCUGAAUGAUAGUCGGGCUGAAGACUCUACUUGACUAGCUGAGAGGAGGUGCAUGGCCGUCGUCAGUUCGUACUGUGAAGCAUCCUGUUAAGUCAGGCAACGAGCGAGACCCACGCCAACAGUUGCU
rnacentral:rRNA from 1 species